UGGAUGACUCUCGGCAACGGAUAUCUCGGCUCUCGCAUCGAUGAAAAACGUAGCGAAAUGCGAUACCUGGUGUGAAUUGCAGAAUCCCGUGAACCAUCGAGUCUUUGAACGCAAGUUGCGCCCGAGGCCAUCCGGCUAAGGGCACGCCUGCCUGGGCGUCACGC
rnacentral:rRNA from 1 species